rnacentral:piRNA from 1 species
CACCAAGGCAUAUGGAGACAGGAUAGA